GAUGAACGCUAGCUACUGGCUUAACACAUGCAAGUCGAGGGACCGGCGCACGGGUGAGUAACACGUAUCCAACCUGCCCUUUACUCGGGGAUAGCCUUUCGAAAGAAAGAUUCAUACCCGAUAUAAAGGAUGGGGAUGCGUUCCAUUAGGUUGUUGGUGAGGUAACGGUCCACCAAGCCUUCGAUGGAUAGGGGGUCGGAGCGGAAGGUACCCCACAUUGGAACUGAGACACGGUCCAAAAUCCUAGGGGUGGCAGAAGUGAGGAAUAUUGGUGAAUGGGCGGUAGCCUUAACCAGCCGAGUAGCGUGAAGGAUGAAGGCUUAUGGGUCGUAAACUUCUUUUAUAUAAGAAUAGGUAUUAGAUGAAUAAGGAUCGGCUAACUCCGUGCCAGCAGCCGCGGUAAUUC
rnacentral:rRNA from 1 species